UACGAGAGGCCCAAACGUUAUUCGGAUUUACUGGGCUUAAAGAGUUCGUAGGCGGUUCGUCAAGUGAGGUGUGAAAGCCCUCGGCUCAACCGAGGAGCUGCCCGCCAAACUGAAUGACUUGAGUCCGGGAGAGGUGAGUGGAAUUCCCAGUGUAGCGGUGAAAUGCGUAGAUAUUGGGAGGAACACCAGUGGCGAAGGCGGCUCACUGGACCGGCACUGACGCUGAAGCGCGAAAGCGUGGGGAGCAAACGGG
rnacentral:rRNA from 1 species